AAAAAAUAGAAAAGAAACAGAAUGAAACGAAACAGAGAGCAAGGAAGGAAAGAAAAGAAAGAAAGGGAGAAAAGGGAAAUUUCAGAUUUCAAGGUUUGAAAGUUUAAUUGGUAAGUUAAUUUAGCCCUUUUUACUUAAUUUUGAUGUUUUAGAAGCUUUGGAACAAGAUUUUGAUGAAAUUAAGUUGAUAUUUUGAAAGUUAUUAGAUUUCUAGAUAAUGUUCGUGUUGAGUAAAAUGAUGAAUUAAGGGCUAAAUUGAUAGAAAUUCAAGUUAGAAAUGAAAUAAGGAUUGAAUUGUAAAGUGAUUCAUAAGUUUUAUGCUUUAAGGACUAAAUUGAAAGAAUUUCGAAAUUAUGGUUUUAUGAUGAAAAAUAGAUAAUUAUGUCUAAGUUUGGUUAAAAAUUGAGUAGAAAUAAAGUAUGAAUUAAGAUAGAAAAGUAAGUGAAUUUAGUUUGGAUUAAACUGAAAUUAAAAGUAGAAAAUCAACAUUUUGCACUAAGACUAUUUUGGACAGCAGCAGUAGUCUAAGUUUGAAAAAUCACUAAAAAAUUUAUAAAUUUAAUUAGAGGAUGAAUAAAAUAUGGAAUUAAAGCUUAUUGAGUCUAGUUUUUAUAGAAGAAACGGUAUAAGCAAUUGAAUUGUAAAUUAUGAGAUAUAAUGAAUUUUGUGAGACAAGGUCAGAAUGAAUUCGGGUUCCCCUGUUCUGAGUUUGGAAAAUCACACAAAAUUGGAGAAAAAUAAUUAGAGGCUUAAAGUUAUAUGUUUAGAAUCCCUAAUGAGUCUAUUUUCAGGAGAAAUCAACGGGAAUAUUAUCCGAGUUCUGUACUGUGAGAUAAUUAACUUUUAGUGAAGAAGAGUCGAAACUGUCAGACAGCAGAAUAUGGGUGAAUUUAAAGAAUAAACUGUACUUAAUGGCUAAACGAAAAAUUCUGAAAAUUUUAGGGUAAGGAGAAAUUAGCGGAUCUUAAUUUAGAAUUCUGUAACUCAAGAUAUAAAUUAGUAAUGUAUUAAUGAUUAUGAAUUGUAUUACUUUCAUAGUCAAUGUGGUACCGAAAAUCUCGGCUAAGAAAGGACAAGACAAAGUCAACGGGAGUUAGCUCAGAAACUAUGGUUUGUAUUUCUAUAAUCCGAACUUAAUACUUAAAUUGUUGGAUUUAUUAUUUAAUAUAUAUGUAGUAGGUGUUUUGAGAUGAUUAUUUGAAUUGGAUUGGAUAUUGAUUAUAUUGAAUUGAUUUAUGAAUAUAUAUAUGAAUGUUUGAACUUAAAUGAAUAUUGAUGUGGAAAUUGAAUAAUAAAUAUUUGUUAUAUUGGAAAAUAUAUGUAGUUGGAAGUGUGAUGAAAUUGAUAGAAAAUUGUGAUUAUUGUGAAAUUAAAUAUUUAUUAGUGAAAAGUGAAUGGAAUUAUAUUGAAUUGAAAAUAUAUAGUUAAUUAAUUAAAAUAUGAAUUAAUUAAAAACUGAAAAAUGAAUUAAAUACCCUAUUAACUAGUCGGACUAGUCGGAUAUAGUUGGCAUCCCAUAGGGUAUGGAAGAAUACGGGUUUUGCCGGCUUACUGAUCAGGCACUUAUGUGCCGACUACUAUUACUGUUACCGUUACUGUUAUCGAUUCGGCAUUUUGUGUGUCGGAUAUUGUUACUGUUACCGUUACUGUUACUGUUUCAGAUUUGUUCCGAUGAGGUACUCUGUGUACCGUACUGCUACUGUUAUUGUUAUUAUUCUGGCUUUGGCCGAUGAGGCACUAUGUGCCGUACUGGUGUGUUGGUUGGAUCCGUGUAUUCGUCUGAGUCCGAGUCAUGUUAAUAAGGGUAAAUAAAGGUAUAAAAUAACUGAUUAUUACUGAAUAAUUAACUGUUACCGAAUAAUUGAUUGUUACUGGAUAUUAGACUGUUAUUGAAUAAUUGAAUAUUACUGAAUAAUUGAUCAUUACUGAAUAACUGAUUGUCACUAAAUGAAUGACUGUUACUGAAUAACUUAAUUGUUACUGAAUACCUGAUUUUACUGAAUAAUUGACUGUUACUGGAUAACCGAUCAAUUGAUCGAUACUGAAUAACUGGUUAUUAUUGAAUAAUUGAUUGUUACCGAAUAACUGACUGUUACUGAAUAAAUAAUUGUUCUGAUUGUUAAUGAACAUUACUGAUUGAUUAAUUGCUAUUGAAAUUAAUAAAUGAUUUGAAAUUUAAAGUAAACCAAAACAUUGGUUGGAAAGUGAAUGUUUGAAUACUCAUUGAGUUUGAAUAGUUCGAUAUAUAUAUAAAAUAAUAAGUUUUAUAAUUGCUUAAGUGUUCAGAUUAUAGAAAUACCACUGAGUGUAUACUCAGUGUACGGUUUGUUUCCGUGCGCAGGUUAAGUUAAGGCUAGACUGUUGAAUCAGCAUCCCAGGUCGAUCCCGAAUUCAAUGAGGUAAAUUAUGUUGAGUAUUGAUAAUGGCAUGUACCUAGGAUGUUUAAUGAGAGUCAUUUAGGUUGUAAAAGUAUUGAUGAAAUAAGUAAAUUAUUGUUGGCAACGGUAUAUAGUAUGAAUUUUGAAAUUUAUUAAAAAUUCGUAGUGAUUCUAAAUUAGUUCCAAAUUGAAUUUACUGUUCAUAUUGGACCACGAGGGCCCAUUAAAGGGACGACAUCUUAAAAUUAGGAUGAGUGUGAAUAUUUAUUUUAAUUAAUGACCGGAAUUGGACUGUACUGGCUGGUAAUGUCUCGUGACCCUGUUCCGGCAACGGUAUAGGGUUAGGGGACGUUACAUUUUUCGUCCACUAUAUUGAUACCCAGGUCUAAUUGAUGUGAUUCUGAGAUCAAGCACUAAGUCAAAUUUUGAUAGGCUGAUGAAUGAUGUUAAUGGGCCCAAUCAUCAUGGUCCAACUAUACAUGGAAUGUCCAACAUAUUGCUUGAUCAUUUGCAAAUGCCAAUUGGGCCAAUUACAAGGGCCCGAGCAAAAUGACUCAAGGAGGCUCUUAAUGGAUUGAUGCGUGGACUCUGGGAUCAAGCCCAAGACAGUCUUGUUCAAAUUGGGUCGAGAAUCCUAUUCUAGUUCACUAUACCAAGGUUCGAAUAAUUUUGCAAGUUAAGUGAG
rnacentral:lncRNA from 1 species